rnacentral:rRNA from 1 species
UACGGAGGGGGCUAGCGUUGUUCGGAAUUACUGGGCGUAAAGCGCACGUAGGCGGCUUUGCAAGUCAGAGGUGAAAGCCCGGGGCUCAACCCCGGAAUUGCCUUUGAGACUGCAUCGCUAGAAUUGUGGAGAGGUAAGUGGAAUUCCGAGUGUAGAGGUGAAAUUCGUAGAUAUUCGGAAGAACACUAGUGGCGAAGGCGACUUACUGGACACAUAUUGACGCUGAGGUGCGAAAGCGUGGGGAGCAAACAGG